rnacentral:rRNA from 1 species
AUGAACGCUGGCGGCGUGCCUAAUACAUGCAAGUCGAACGAGUUCUGAUUAUUGAAGGGUGCUUGCAUCUUGAUUUAAUUUUGAACGAGUGGCGGACGGGUGAGUAACACGUGGGUAACCUGCCCUUAAGUGGGGGAUAACAUUUGGAAACAGAUGCUAAUACCGCAUAAAUCCAAGAACCGCAUGGUUCUUGGCUGAAAGAUGGCGUAAGCUAUCGCUUUUGGAUGGACCCGCGGCGUAUUAGCUAGUUGGUGAGGUAACGGCUCACCAAGGCAAUGAUACGUAGCCGAACUGAGAGGUUGAUCGGCCACAUUGGGACUGAGACACGGCCCAAACUCCUACGGGAGGCAGCAGUAGGGAAUCUUCCACAAUGGACGCAAGUCUGAUGGAGCAACGCCGCGUGAGUGAAGAAGGCUUUCGGGUCGUAAAACUCUGUUGUUGGAGAAGAAUGGUCGGCAGAGUAACUGUUGUCGGCGUGACGGUAUCCAACCAGAAAGCCACGGCUAACUACGUGCCAGCAGCCGCGGUAAUACGUAGGUGGCAAGCGUUAUCCGGAUUUAUUGGGCGUAAAGCGAGCGCAGGCGGUUUUUUAAGUCUGAUGUGAAAGCCCUCGGCUUAACCGAGGAAGUGCAUCGGAAACUGGGAAACUUGAGUGCAGAAGAGGACAGUGGAACUCCAUGUGUAGCGGUGAAAUGCGUAGACAUAUGGAAGAACACCAGUGGCGAAGGCGGCUGUCUGGUCUGUAACUGACGCUGAGGCUCGAAAGCAUGGGUAGCGAACAGGAUUAGAUACCCUGGUAGUCCAUGCCGUAAACGAUGAAUGCUAGCUGUUGGAGGGUUUCCGCUCUUCAGUGCCGCAGCUAACGCAUUAAGCAUUCCGCCUGGGGAGUACGACCGCAAGGUUGAAACUCAAAGGAAUUGACGGGGGCCCGCACAAGCGGUGGAGCAUGUGGUUUAAUUCGAUGCAACGCGAAGAACCUUACCUACUCUUGACAUCCAGAGAACUUUCCAGAGAUGGAUUGGUGCCUUCGGGAACUCUGAGACAGGUGCUGCAUGGCUGUCGUCAGCUCGUGUUGUGAAAUGUUGGGUUAAGUCCCGCAACGAGCGCAACCCUUAUGACUAGUUGCCAGCAUUUAGUUGGGCACUCUAGUAAGACUGCCGGUGACAAACCGGAGGAAGGUGGGGAUGACGUCAAAUCAUCAUGCCCCUUAUGACCUGGGCUACACACGUGCUACAAUGGAUGGUACAACGAGUUGCGAGACCGCGAGGUCAAGCUAAUCUCUUAAAGCCAUUCUCAGUUCGGACUGUAGGCUGCAACUCGCCUACACGAAGUCGGAAUCGCUAGUAAUCGCGGAUCAGCACGCCGCGGUGAAUACGUUCCCGGGCCUUGUACACACCGCCCGUCAAGCCAUGAAAGCCGGGGGUACCUGAAGUGCGUAACCGCGAGGAGCGCCCUAGGGUAAAACUGGUGAUUGGGGCU